UUUACAUACUCGGAGUUGCUACAUGAAAGUUCUUGAUGAUAUUUUUCUCUUUAAUGUUUAGAAGAAUUAAGAGACCACUAAUACGACUUUAUGCAUAUCUUUAUUCUGAAGGCGUUCUCUGAACACUUCCAAGUGGAAGGAUCUGUACGUUUGAAUCCUAUCUAAGGGCUGGCUGCCUCCAGACAGGAAGAAAUUGGCUUCCAAGUGUUCGUCUAGGGAUUCUCCCUGCCUUACAGCUCUUCUUGUGUGUUCUUCAAUCCACUUUAAAACAGCAUUAGGAAUUUUCAUUCAUACCACACAAACACAUGUUUGUUGAAGACAGUGGAGGCCCUGCACCUGUGCUACCUGCUGCCUUUCCAGUCAUCAUCCAAAGUAACCCCACAGCACUGGAGGAUGAGAUUUUCUAUGUGUCCUGCCUGAGGGCCACUUAUUUUGAACAUGGUGAGAGGUAA